rnacentral:rRNA from 1 species
ACAAGCAGCGGAGCGUGUGGUUUAAUUCGAUGCUACACGAAGAACUUACCAGGGUUUGACAUACAAGUAGUAGGGAAAGGAACUGGACCGACCCUUCGGGGAGCUUGUACAGGUGCUGCAUGGCUGUCGUCAGCUCGUGUCGUGAGAUGUUCGGUUAAGUCCGCUAACGAGCGCAACCCUCGCUGUGUGUUACAAGUGUCACACGGAACUGCCGGUCAUAAACCGGAGGAAGGUGGGGAUGACGUCAAGUCAGCAUGGCCUUUAUACCCUGGGCUACACACGUGUUACAAUGGGAUGUACAGAGCGUUGCCAAACCGCGAGGUGGAGCUAAUCGCAAAAAGCAUCCCCCAGUUCAGAUUGGAGUCUGCAACCCGACUCCAUGAAGUUGGAAUUGCUAGUAACGGCGGAUCAGCUGCGCCGCCGUGAAUACGUUCCCGGGCCUU